rnacentral:pre_miRNA from 1 species
AGGGGAAUAGCUGGGUCAAACGGUAGUUCCAUUCCAGCUCUCCAAGGAAUCUCUAUACUGCUUUCCAAAUUGGCCGCACCAAUUUGCAGUCCCACCAGCAAU